GAUGCUAGAAAAUAAACAUAAUAAACAAGUAAAUAUUACAGUCUGUUAGAAGGUGAUGAAUGCUAUGAAACAAAUAUUAGCCAGGGUAAGCUUAGGGCAGGGGUCAGCAAACUACAGUCGGGUGGCCAAAUCCAGCCUGUCAUUUGUUUUUAUACAGCCUACAACCUAAGAAUGGUUUUUACUUUUUUUUUUUUUUUAAAGACGAAGUCUCUCCCUGUCACCCAGGCUGGAGUGCAGUGGUGUGAUCACUUCUCACUGCAACCUCUGCCUCCUGAUUUCAAGUGAUUCUCCUGCCUCAGCCUCCCGAGUAGCUGGGAUUACAGGCAAACACCUCCAUGCCCAGCUAAUUUUUGUAUUUUGAGUAGAGACGGGGUUUCACCAUGUUGGCCAGGCUGGUCUCAAACUCCUGAACUCAGGUGAUCUGCCUGUCUUGGCCUCCCAAAGUGCUGGGAUUAUAGGCAUGAGCCACCAUGCUUGGCCUAGUUUUAACUUAAAAAAACUUUUUUUUGAGACAGGUUCUCACCUCUGUCACUCAGGCUGGAGUACAGU
rnacentral:lncRNA from 1 species